AUGUGAGGCUGCGACCUCAAUCCUCCCUCAUGAUUCUGGGUGAGAACUGCUGACAUCAGGGAUGAGAUUGCCAGGCAAUCACCUCACCUGGUGCUCGAGGUUGAUCCUUCUUUCUGGUAACAAACGACAGACGCCACAGUGUGUUUUCACCAGUUAACUGAAGAGUACUGCAGUCUCACUGAGAGCAGCAGAACAUCAUCUGUCAGCACUGGGAUCUUUCUGUACCUCCAUGUUCUAGCAGUGAUGCAUUCGAGCUGUCUGGACCUGCUAAGAUAUGGACACUGUCAGAAAAGCUGACAUCUGCUCUGACUAGUUUCCAUGCACUUCAGUCAACAGUGUUCUCUAUAAGCUUGGUAAAGAGCUGAGCCAACAGGGGGAGCUGUUGCUUUGAAUGACCGUCAACCGUCAGAGGACUCAUCUCUUCUGGAGUCCAGACACAAACACACUGAUG